GGGAAGUUGGCUCGGUGGUAGAGUGCAUGCCUUGCAUGCAUGAGGCCUUGGGUUCGAUUCCUCAGCACCACA
rfam:Dipodomys ordii contig_69869, whole genome shotgun sequence.